UCAACACCUCCAACAGGAAACAAACACGUAAACAGGACCCUGCAUAGCACGUUCACAGUGAACUCAUCUUCUAAAAUACAUGUUUUAAAAACCCUCAGACUUAUAACCUACACUUGGAACACCCAGCAUAAAUAUGCAAUUGCUUACCGUAUUGCUGAGAAGGUCAAUAUACUUUAUUUACUUAGGCUGCAAUGUUCUGUUAUAACGAUUUCUAAAUUAUCAGAAGCACACUACUGCUGGCCUCUCACAAAGCUGGAACUUCUUAAUUUCAAUCAUUACAAUCAAUCAAGAAUCAAUAAAUAAAAUAACUUUACAACAUUGGUUUCCAUGGUGGUAGCAACCAUAUCAUUUCACUACGCAGGCACAUGAGUUGGUUGUCCAGUCAUUGCCUCGGGAGAGUAUUUUUGCCAUGCCGGGAUGCAGCAUUAUUUUUAAAAAGCAAAAUUGAUUUUUAUAAACCAAUAGCCUCAUGUCCCAAUACUGUUUUGUACCAAAUGCACAUUACGUUUUUCCUCCCAACUGUAAUAGUCUACUUUAUUAUUAAAAACCGCCCCUUAAUUUAGGCAGUGGUGGUUUGUUCCUCCGAAACAAAUCUGAACUUCAAGUGAACUCCGGUGGAACAUUUUGAACUGUCACCGACCGUUGCAAAAGCUUGAAAGUCUCACCGAAGAAGCUGGCAAACGGAUCCUGGCCCCCGAAGAACUCCCGGAAGACCUCGUCCGGGCUGCGGAAUGUGAAGGUGAAUCCUGGGAAAUCUGGGCUGGAGGAUCCACUGGAGCCUAUGGGUGAGGAGAAGGAGAGAGAGAGAGACGUGGGAAUAAAGAAGGUGCUGGAUGGAGAGAGCAGCAGGUUUAAUUGAGCAGUUUGAGGGAGGUCUACUGCUAAGAGAGCACUAGUGAUUCCAGGAUGGCUUCCCUCAGCAGGUCUCCACUGCCCUGGUGUGGAGCUCGCUAGCUCUCCGGUUCAACUGCUAUUCUCCAUCUAUAAUGCAUUCUUGCACGAGACAUCAGGCAGAAAAUGGACAGUGCAAACAGGCAGACAUCCACUUUUUCUAACAGUCCAAGGUUGUAACAGCUCCUCCCCAAAUUACUGACUUCACCCUGUGAUGACACUUGGCAGAGGGCCUACCUCCAACAGAGAGGAUUCAGGACAUACUAAACAAUAUCUGCACCAACCAACAGAGGUUGCUACAAUAUCAUUAUUAUUCUAGCCACUUGUGUCAUUGUCUUGUAAUACUGAUUUGAGCUUGAGCCAUCUGUGUUGUGAAUGCAUAGCUAGCAACGUUAUUGGUGAGCAGACGGGUCUCUACAGAGAACACAUUUCUACUGGCAAUGGCAGAAACCAGAAAUGACUAGAGAAAAUGAAUGUGCAUUUUUCUCCAUCUUGUCUGAUGAAGCUGUCACAGUCCAGCCCUGUCUUUGUGAUUCACCAGGAUUACAAGCAGAAAGCCUGUGAAUCAACAGAAUGGUCACUGCAAA